rnacentral:rRNA from 1 species
UUUCCAGACUCCUACGGGAGGCAGCAGUGAGGAAUAUUGGUCAAUGGGCUUACGCCUGAACCAGCCAAGUCGCGUGGGGGAAGACUGCCCUAUGGGUUGUAAACCUCUUUUGUCGGGGAGCAAAGCGAACCACGUGUGGUUCAUUGAGAGUACCCGAGGAAAAAGCAUCGGCUAACUCCGUGCCAGCAGCCGCGGUAAUACGGAGGAUGCGAGCGUUAUCCGGAUUUAUUGGGUUUAAAGGGUGCGCAGGCGGAGGUGCAAGUCAGCGGUCAAAUUGCGGGGCUCAACCCCGUACUGCCGUUGAAACUGCAUCCCUUGAGUGCGCGAGAAGUAUGCGGAAUGCGUGGUGUAGCGGUGAAAUGCAUAGAUAUCACGCAGAACUCCGAUUGCGAAGGCAGCAUACCGGCGCGCAACUGACGCUCAUGCACGAAAGCGUGGGUAUCGAACAGGAUUAGAUACCCCCGUAAC